UGCCAUCAGCCGCGGUAAUACGAAGGGGGCGAGCGUUGUUCGGAAUUACUGGGCGUAAAGGGCGCGUAGGCGGUCUUUUAAGUUAGGCGUGAAAGCCCCGGGCUCAACCCGGGAAUUGCGCUUAAUACUGGAAGACUAGAAAACGGAAGAGGGUAGUGGAAUUCCCAGUGUAGAGGUGAAAUUCGUAGAUAUUGGGAAGAACACCAGUGGCGAAAGCGGCUACCUGGUCCGGUUUUGACGCUGAGUCGCGAAGGCGUGGGGAGCAAACAGGAGUAGAUA
rnacentral:rRNA from 1 species